UUUCCUACGGGGGGCAGCAGUGAGGAAUAUUGGUCAAUGGACGCAAGUCUGAACCAGCCAUGCCGCGUGCAGGAUGACGGCUCUAUGAGUUGUAAACUGCUUUUGUACGAGGGUAAACCCCGAUACGUGUAUCGGGUUGAAAGUAUCGUACGAAUAAGGAUCGGCUAACUCCGUGCCAGCAGCCGCGGUAAUACGGAGGAUCCGAGCGUUAUCCGGAUUUAUUGGGUUUAAAGUGUGCGUAGGCGGAUUGAUAAGUUAGAGGUGAAAUGUCCGAGCUUAACUC
rnacentral:rRNA from 1 species